rnacentral:rRNA from 1 species
AGAGUUUGAUCCUGGCUCAGGAUGAACGCUGGCGGCGUGCUUAACACAUGCAAGUCGAACGGGAAACCUUUUAUUGAAGCUUCGGCAGAUUUAGCUGGUUUCUAGUGGCGGACGGGUGAGUAACGCGUGGGUAACCUGCCUUAUACAGGGGGAUAACAGUCAGAAAUGGCUGCUAAUACCGCAUAAGCGCACAGAGCUGCAUGGCUCAGUGAGAAAAACUCCGGUGGUAUAAGAUGGACCCGCGUUGGAUUAGCUGGUUGGCGGGGUAACGGCCCACCAAGGCGACGAUCCAUAGCCGGCCUGAGAGGGUGAACGGCCACAUUGGGACUGAGACACGGCCCAGACUCCUACGGGAGGCAGCAGUGGGGAAUAUUGCACAAUGGGGGGAACCCUGACGCAGCGACGCCGCGUGCGGGACGGAGGCCUUCGGGUCGUAAACCGCUUUCAGCAGGGAAGAGUCAAGACUGUACCUGCAGAAGAAGCCCCGGCUAACUACGUGCCAGCAGCCGCGGUAAUACGUAGGGGGCGAGCGUUAUCCGGAUUCAUUGGGCGUAAAGCGCGCGUAGGCGGCCCGGCAGGCCGGGGGUCGAAGCGGGGGGACUCAACCCCCCGAAGCCCCCGGAACCUCCGCGGCUUGGGUCCGGUAGGGGAGGGUGGAACACCCGGUGUAGCGGUGGAAUGCGCAGAUAUCGGGUGGAACACCAGUAGCGAAGGCGGCUUUCUGGACUGUAACUGACGCUGAGGCACGAAAGCGUGGGGAGCAAACAGGAUUAGAUACCCUGGUAGUCCACGCUGUAAACGAUG